rnacentral:rRNA from 1 species
UACGGGGGGGGCAAGCGUUGUUCGGAAUUACUGGGCGUAAAGGGCUCGUAGGUGGCCAACUAAGUCAGACGUGAAAUCCCUCGGCUUAACCGGGGAACUGCGUCUGAUACUGGAUGGCUUGAGAUUGGGAGAGGGACGCGGAAUUCCAGGUGUAGCGGUGAAAUGCGUAGAUAUCUGGAGGAACACCGGUGGCGAAGGCGGCGUCCUGGACCAACACUGACACUGAGGAGCGAAAGCCAGGGAGCAAACGGG